rnacentral:rRNA from 1 species
CCUACGGGUCGCACCAGUGGGGAAUAUUGCACAAUGGGCGGAAGCCUGAUGCAGCAACGCCGCGUGCGGGAUGACGGCCUUCGGGUUGUAAACCGCUUUCGCCUGUGACGAAGCGUGAGUGACGGUAAUGGGUAAAGAAGCACCGGCUAACUACGUGCCAGCAGCCGCGGUGAUACGUAGGGUGCGAGCGUUGUCCGGAUUUAUUGGGCGUAAAGGGCUCGUAGGUGGUUGAUCGCGUCGGAAGUGUAAUCUUGGGGCUUAACCCUGAGCGUGCUUUCGAUACGGGUUGACUUGAGGAAGGUAGGGGAGAAUGGAAUUCCUGGUGGAGCGGUGGAAUGCGCAGAUAUCAGGAGGAACACCAGUGGCGAAGGCGGUUCUCUGGGCCUUUCCUGACGCUGAGGAGCGAAAGCGUGGGGAGCGAACAGGAUUAGAUACCCUAGUAGUC